AACGAACGCUGGCGGCAUGCCUAACACAUGCAAGUCGAACGAACCCUUCGGGGUUAGUGGCGCACGGGUGUGUAACGCGCGGGAAUCUGCCCUUUGCUUCGGAAUAACAGUUAGAAAUGACUGCUAAUACCGGAUGAUGUCUUCGGACCAAAGAUUUAUCGGCAGAGGAGGAGCCCGCGUAGGGUUAGGGAGUUGGUGGGGUAAAGGCCUACCAAGCCGACGAUCCUUAGCUGGUCUGAGAGGAUGAUCAGCCACACUGGAUCUGAGACACGGCCCAGACUCCUACGGGAGGCAGCAGUGGGGAAUAUUGGACAAUGGACGCAAGUCUGAUCCAGCAAUGCCGCGUGAGUGAUGAAGGCCUUAGGGUUGUAAAGCUCUUUUACCAGGGAUGAUAAUGACAGUACCUGGAGAAUAAGCUCCGGCUAACUCCGUGCCAGCCGCCGCGGUAAAAC
rnacentral:rRNA from 1 species